UACGUAGGGGGCGAGCGUUGUCCGGAAUCAUUGGGCGUAAAGAGCGUGUAGGCGGCCCGACAAGUCCGCUGUGAAAGUCCAGGGCUCAACCCUGGAAUGCCGGUGGAUACUGUCGGGCUAGAGUCCGGAAGGGGCGAGUGGAAUUCCUGGUGUAGCGGUGAAAUGCGCAGAUAUCAGGAGGAACACCAAUGGCGAAGGCAGCUCGCUGGGACGUGACUGACGCUGAGACGCGAAAGCGUGGGGAGCAAACAGG
rnacentral:rRNA from 1 species